AGUGAACGCUGGCGGUAGGCCUAACACAUGCAAGUCGAACGGCAGCACAGUAAGUGCUUGCUCUUACGGGUGGCGAGUGGCGGACGGGUGAGGAGUACAUCGGAAUCUACUUUUUCGUAGGGGAUCACGUAGCGAAACUUACGCUAAUACCGCAUACGACCUACGGGUGAAAGCAUCGGAUCUUCGUACCUUGCGCGAUUGAAUGCGCCGCUGUGGGGUUAGCUAGUUGGCGGGGUAAAGGCCCACCAAGGCGACGAUCCGUAGCUGGGCUGAGAGGAGGAUCAGCCACAGUGAAAGUGAGAGACGGUACAGAGUCCUACGGGAGGCAGCAGGGGGGAAGAUUGGAAAAUGGGGGCAAGCCUGAUCAAGCGAUGCAGGGGGGGUGAAGAAGGCCCGCGGGUGGGAAAGCGGUUUUGGUGGGAAAGAAAACCAGCAGGUGAAAAGCACGGUGUUCGGAGGGUACCCAAAGAAUAAGCACGGGCUAAUACGGU
rnacentral:rRNA from 1 species